GAGUUUGAUCCUGGCUCAGGAUGAACGCUGGCGGCGCGCCUAACACAUGCAAGUCGAACGGCACCUAUCUUCGGAUAGAAGCGAGUGGCGAACGGCUGAGUAACACGUGGAGAACCUGCCCCCUCCCCCGGGAUAGCCGCCCGAAAGGACGGGUAAUACCGGAUACCCCGGGGUGCCGCAUGGCACCCCGGCUAAAGCCCCGACGGGAGGGGAUGGCUCCGCGGCCCAUCAGGUAGACGGCGGGGUGACGGCCCACCGUGCCGACAACGGGUAGCCGGGUUGAGAGACCGACCGGCCAGAUUGGGACUGAGACACGGCCCAGACUCCUACGGGAGGCAGCAGUGGGGAAUCUUGCGCAAUGGGGGGAACCCUGACGCAGCGACGCCGCGUGCGGGACGGAGGCCUUCGGGUCGUAAACCGCUUUCAGCAGGGAAGAGUCAAGACUGUACCUGCAGAAGAAGCCCCGGCUAACUACGUGCCAGCAGCCGCGGUAAUUC
rnacentral:rRNA from 1 species